GCAUGUGAAUGGAUAAGGUAAGGGUAAGACGGUCAGUUCACAUGUGCUGUAAAACGAAAAUAAAAAAGAAAAUCUCAAAACCAAGAAAUGGAGAAGAAAUACCCUGAAUUGAAACAAUUCACGUUCGAAAUUUAUCGUGUUUGACGAUGACUGGUGGAUACACGAAAACGAUGGAUAAUUGCUCAAUUGAAAUCGGUGAAACGUUAUCUCGAUGACCGACUUGCUCUGGUAGCUCUAGCUUGAUGAAACUGACGAAUUGCACAUUCCAUUCAGAUUCAGAGAUGCCUGACAAAGCCACCCCUUAUCAUCCUUGUCCUCAGGGAUGGAAAUAAAGCAGGAAAACCUUCCAAAUGAAAGCUGCAUCUUCCCAUAUGGCCUCAAAUUUUAGAAGAUUCAUCUAGUGAAUUAACCACUGCGCCAUUGGUUCAUUGUUGCUUGGGAUCAUUCUUCUUGGUAAAAUAGCCACUAGACCUACUUUAAUGGUUCUUUUUAUCAUUAAUUAAUGGAAGAUCUGGACUUUUAAUGGAAGAUUUGGACUUGAAAUUGCAAAAUGUCCCAUAUACCCUUUUAGCUUAAGGACAUGGAAGGCACCUUUAGGUAGAAGAUUUUGUAUGCAUCCUUUCCAAUUUUGUCCAACAUUCUGAAUGGCCCAUAGAACUUGGAAUGAAGCUUCAUUGACCUGUGGGUGCUCAAGGAUGUGUAUCUAUAUGGCUGAAUCUUCAAAUAUACCAUGUCUCCUACUUCAAAGAUUCUUUCAAAUAUAUCUAUAUGCCUUGGUUAAAUUGUCUCUGAUCACCUAUAAGUAGCCACGUUUCUGAGUUGCUCUUGAGCUAACAGAUCAAGGCAGACUAGAAUCAGCCUUGGUUAAAUUAUCUCUGAACACCUAAGUAGCCACGUUCCCGAGUUGCUCUUUAGCUGACAGAUCAAGGGAGACUGGAAUCAUAGCUUGAGCCACCAUUAGAGGAGGAAACCCAUACAGAACUUGGAGGGGGGCAUGUUCAAAGAAGUGUGAUAGCUUGUAUUGUACCACCACUCUGCAAGUGAUAACCAAUAAUAUGAUCUUUUAGGACUGUUAAAAUACAUACAUAUCUCAAGUAACUAACCAAUAAUUAAUUAACUCAUUUUGUUUGUCCAUUAGUUUGGGGGUGAUAAGCAGUUGUAAAACGGAGCUGCACUUUUAAUAUCUUAAAAAUGAUGGCGAACCAUUACUUAUGAAUAUUGGAUCCCUGUUUGCUAGAUAACCUUUGGCAUGACAUGUAAUUUGAGGAUAUUAUGAAGAAAUACGUAACUAUAUCUUGAGCAGUGUAAGGGUAACUAUUAGAAAUGAAAUGAGAAUACUUGGUUAAUCUAUCCACUACUAUUAAAAUUACAUCUUUGCCUUGAGAUUUUGGCAAGUCCUCCACAAAAUCCAUAGAUAUAUGUGUCCAUGCCAUAUCUAGUAUAGAUAAUGGUUGCAAUAGUCCUAGAUAAGGAAUGAUUUCAGGCUUGUUUUUGUGGCACACAGCACAAUUCUUGGCAUUCUCUUUAGCUUGUUGUUGCCUUUUGGGCCAACCGGCCAAUAGAACACCAAUUUAACCUCUGAUAAGUUUGCCCUUUCCCAGAAUGACCACCCAGGGCUGAUUUGUGAAAACUAAAAACUUCCUAGUAACUGUUGCAUCUAUUGGCCUGUAUCACCAAUCAACCGUCUCCCCUGAUACCUAAGAAGUCCAUUACUGAGAGAAUGAUUUGGAAUAGAAUUUGGAUCAAUGCUCAACUUUGCUAUCAGAUCAACACACUUUUCACCUUGUUCAUAGCUGUUAAGCACUUGCUCAAUCCAUAUAGGAAUUACUGUGGUGAUGGCCAUACAUUAUGGAGAAUGUGCUGAACUCCCUCUAGCAGUCUUUGCUCAUGGAUAUACUUAAGGCUCUAUAAGAACUAGCAAAAUAAUGUUUCCAUUUCUUAAGAGCCUCCAAUAUUUAUAUUUCCUCUUUUUCAUAAGUUGAUAAUGCAGACGUCUUAGGACCCAAAGUCCUACUUAUAAAAGCAAUUGGUUGGCCAUUCUGCAUUAGUACUGCAGCAAUUCCCCUAGCAUCAGCCUCCAAAAUGAAAGGCCGAGUAAAAUCUGGUAGUGAUAAAACAGGUGGACUGGACAUGAUCUGUUUGAGUUUAACAUAAGUUAUUUGCUGGCUAUCAAUCCAAACACCUUCUUGGUUUGCUAAUGAUUCCAUACACUUGGAUAAACCUUAUAUAACAUCCAGCAAGGCCCAAAAAUGACCUUAAUGGAGUUACAUUGCUUGGUUGAGACCAACUCUGAAUUGUAUUGAUUUUUAUAGAAGAACCCUCAAAUGAUCAACAUGUUUUGUCAUGUUAGCAUUGUAUAUAAGGAUGUUAUCAGAAAAUACUAGUGCAAACUUCCUCAAAAAUGAAGCAAGAACUGAGUUCAUCAAGGAUUGAAAUGUAGCAGGAGCAUUGUUUAACACAAAUGGCAUUACUAGUUUAACCCAAAUGGCAUUACUAUAAAUUUAAAGUGACCCAAGUGAUUUUUAAAGGUUAUGACCUCAGACUACAAAUAAAAUAAGGAAGCUUCUGGUACUUUUUUACUUAUGACACAAUGUGGAUUCUUCUUCGAAUAUGAUUUGACAGGAAUUUUAGCGGACGGAGGCUUAUUGAAAAAUUUGCUUGCUCGGGCAAAGGUGUAAGCCUUCGUAAAACCUUUCAUGCUCGGGAAAAACAUUUUUUUUAAUGUAAGUUUUAUUAAUGUAAAUGUGGUGCUUUGGGUGUAGCUUUGGAGUAUUUGUCCAACUAGAAAUGGGACAGUGGAGUAUUCCUUUAUAAGGAAGAGGACGGGAAUGAGUAUAGGUGAAACGGGAGGAACGGUGCAAUAAAACCAAUUUUCUUUUUCAUGUUUUAGUGGCAUGGGUAUGGAUUCUGAAAUGCCCUCACGAGUGCAGAUGCCAGCUCCCCUAGAGAGAUCAGAGUACCUCUACAUUUCUGAUGCUCUAAUUUAUAGAAGUGACAGAAAAGGGCAACACUCGGAGCAAUAUCAAGGAAAGCUUCACAAAGAUGGAAAAAAAAAAGUACUAACUAGGUAAUCGACGUGAGGUUCAGAUGGAUCAGCUCGAUCUCGUACA
rnacentral:lncRNA from 1 species